GGACCUGUACCUCUCUCCUUUUUACUUGUUCUUGGAUUGCAUCUUCAUCACCCUCUCUCCUCUUUCUUCUUCUGUUACUACUAUAGUUUGCUGAAAUGUAAUAUUUCUUGUGGAAUUUUCUGCGGUUUAACUUUGCACAUCUCCCUUCCUUUUAAAAGUGACUAACUUAGUGCUGGAAUUUGUUUCUGCAGUAAAUAUUUUUUCAAUUAUAAAGAUGAUUUGUAUUAUUUUUUUGCACUAGAAUUUCAAUAAACUCCUAAUAACACUGCCAUUUUCACUUUGGCCCCCAAAAUAUCCAAACUCCCCUGAAAAUAUUGUUAAGUGAUCCUUGGAAAUCACUCUUCGAGUCCUUCCAGAAUCAUUGUCUUAAAAUCCUGUUAUGUCUUGUACUUUAGAGUUAUGUAAAUUUGAUCAUCUGCAACUUAGUGAUUCAUUGAAUUGAAUGGAACAUUUGGUCUUGGACUUUUCUUCUUCCCCUGAUAUGUUGUUGUCAUGCGCCUUUUUCUUCUUAUAUGAAGGAAACUCUGCUGCCAUAGACAGUCAGUAUUGACUGCCCCGAUAUUUCUGACCAGUUAAUUUUGUCAAUUGAAUCCUUUCUUACUUCUCUCCUUUGAGUUAAAUGGAAACAAUUCCAUAUUAAGCUGAACACAAUUAUACUUAUUCUGCCAAUUGUUGUCUUCAGUACUGAAGUUACACUAACGAUUGAUUUGUCAUCACUACAUUUUGUAGCUUUAUAUCUCAAGUGUUUGUUUGAUGUUCCUCUAUAUGUUUCUUACUAAACAAGGUCUCAUGGUUGUGAAGCUGUUACUGAUAGUUUAACGAAAACCUAUAGCUCUAUUUUUCAGGCCUAUGGAUCGUGGAUUUCAUGUCUAAUUCUUAAAUUAAGGUCUGCAGUAUUUGUCUCCUUCAAGAAUUAAAACUGAUGUACUCUCAGAUGUCCGGUCAGGUUUGGGUAAUGAACUGUAUUAGGUUAAAAUCCUGGAUAUGGAUGUGAAUAUAGAUAGGAUAAGAUAUCAUAUGCAAUUCAUAAGAGCUGGACCCUUUUAUUGGAUCAGAUUUGGACUAGAUUCACAGAUUAGCCGGGCCUUUAAUAAGUCUGAUUCUUAUUAUUUGUCGCAUUAUAAUUCAUAUAUUUAGUUUUCUGCUAGCUUACUCAAAGAUUGUUUAGACAUUGCCAUAGUAUAAACUGGAAGUGCUCCUCAAAUAAGCUUAUUCCUUUCUUUCAAUUC